CCUACGGGUGGCUGCAGUGGGGAAUAUUGGGCAAUGGGCGCAAGCCUGACCCAGCAACGCCGCGUGAAGGAAGAAGGCUCUCGGGUUGUAAACUUCUUUUCUCAGGGACGAAGAAAGUGACGGUACUUGAGGAAUAAGCCACGCCUACUACGUGCCAGCAGCCGCGGUAAUACGUAGGUGGCAAGCGUUAUCCGGAAUUACUGGGUGUACAGGGCGUGUAGGCGGGAAAGCAAGACAGAUGUGAAAACCAUGGGCUCAACCUGUGGCCUGCAUUUGAAAUUGUUUUUCUAGAGUACUGGAGAGGCAGGCGGAAUUCAUGGUGUAGCGGUGAAAUGCGUAGAGAUUAGGAAGAACACCAGUGGCGAAGGCAGUCUACUAAGCUACAACUGACGCUGAGGCGCGAAAGCGUGGGGAGCAAACAGGAUUAGAUACCCCUGUAGUC
rnacentral:rRNA from 1 species